UAGGGAAUAUUAGAAAUGGACGAAAGUCUGAUCUAGCAACACCGCGUGUGCGAUGAAGGCCUUCGGGUUGUAAAGCACUUUUUGGAAGGAUUAGGAAGGAAUGUACUUCCAGAAUAAGUCUCGGCUAACUACGUGCCAGCAGCCGCGGUAACACGUAGGAGGCGAACGUUAUCCGGAUUUACUGGGCGUAAAGCGCGUGUAGGUGGUUCUGUAAGUAGGGCGUGAAAGCUCCUGGCUCAACUGGGAGAGGCCGUUCUAAACUGCAGAGCUAGAGGAUGGUAGAGGGAGGUGGAAUUCCGGGUGUAGCGGUGGAAUGCGCAGAUAUCCGGAGGGACACCAGUGGCGAAGGCGGCCUCCUGGACCAUUCCUGACACUCAGACGCGAAAGCUAGGG
rnacentral:rRNA from 1 species